rnacentral:rRNA from 1 species
CCUGGCUCCGAUGAACGCUGGCGGCGCGCCUAACACAUGCAAGUCGAACGAGCGAGAGAGAGCUUGCUUUCUCGAGCGAGUGGCGAACGGGUGAGUAACGCGUGAGGAACCUGCCUCAAAGAGGGGGACAACAGUUGGAAACGACUGCUAAUACCGCAUAAGCCCACGGCUCGGCAUCGAGCAGAGGGAAAAGGAGCAAUCCGCUUUGAGAUGGCCUCGCGUCCGAUUAGCUAGUUGGUGAGGUAAUGGCCCACCAAGGCGACGAUCGGUAGCCGGACUGAGAGGUUGAACGGCCACAUUGGGACUGAGACACGGCCCAGACUCCUACGGGAGGCAGCAGUGGGGAAUAUUGCACAAUGGGGGAAACCCUGAUGCAGCGACGCCGCGUGGAGGAAGAAGGUCUUCGGAUUGUAAACUCCUGUUGUUGAGGAAGAUAAUGACGGUACUCAACAAGGAAGUGACGGCUAACUACGUGCCAGCAGCCGCGGUAAAACGUAGGUCACAAGCGUUGUCCGGAAUUACUGGGUGUAAAGGGAGCGCAGGCGGGAAGACAAGUUGGAAGUGAAAUCCAUGGGCUCAACCCAUGAACUGCUUUCAAAACUGUUUUUCUUGAGUAGUGCAGAGGUAGGCGGAAUUCCCGGUGUAGCGGUGGAAUGCGUAGAUAUCGGGAGGAACACCAGUGGCGAAGGCGGCCUACUGGGCACCAACUGACGCUGAGGCUCGAAAGUGUGGGUAGCAAACAGGAUUAGAUACCCUGGUAGUCCACACUGUAAACGAUGAUUACUAGGUGUUGGAGGAUUGACCCCUUCAGUGCCGCAGUUAACACAAUAAGUAAUCCACCUGGGGAGUACGACCGCAAGGUUGAAACUCAAAGGAAUUGACGGGGGCCCGCACAAGCAGUGGAGUAUGUGGUUUAAUUCGACGCAACGCGAAGAACCUUACCAAGUCUUGACAUCCUGCGACGGUGCUGGAAACAGUACUUUCCUUCGGGACGCAGAGACAGGUGGUGCAUGGUUGUCGUCAGCUCGUGUCGUGAGAUGUUGGGUUAAGUCCCGCAACGAGCGCAACCCUUAUGGUCAGUUACUACGCAAGAGGACUCUGGCCAGACUGCCGUUGACAAAACGGAGGAAGGUGGGGAUGACGUCAAAUCAUCAUGCCCUUUAUGACUUGGGCUACACACGUACUACAAUGGCGUUAAACAAAGAGAAGCAAGACCGCGAGGUGGAGCAAAACUCAGAAACAACGUCCCAGUUCGGACUGCAGGCUGCAACUCGCCUGCACGAAGUCGGAAUUGCUAGUAAUCGCAGAUCAGCAUGCUGCGGUGAAUACGUUCCCGGGCCUUGUACACACCGCCC